rnacentral:rRNA from 1 species
CUUAAGGCUGAGACACGACGUCGAGCUACUACGGUAGUGAAGUCAUUGAUGCCAUGCUUCCAGGAAAAGCCUCUAAGCUUCAGAUUGUAAGGAAUCGUACCCCAAACCGACACAGGUGGUCGGGUAGAGAAUACCAAGGCGCUUGAGAGAACUCGGGUGAAGGAACUAGGCAAAAUGGUACCGUAACUUCGGGAGAAGGUACGCUCUCGACGGUGAAGUCCCUCGCGGAUGGAGCUAUUGAGAGUCGCAGAUACCAGGUGGCUGCAACUGUUUAUUAAAAACACAGCACUGUGCAAAAUCGUAAGAUGACGUAUACGGUGUGACGCCUGCCCGGUGCCGGAAGGUUAAUUGAUGGGGUUAGACUUCGGUCGAAGCUCUUGAUCGAAGCCCCGGUAAACGGCGGCCGUAACUAUAACGGUCCUAAGGUAGCGAAAUUCCUUGUCGGGUAAGUUCCGACCUGCACGAAUGGCGUAAUGAUGGCCACGCUGUCUCCACCCGAGACUCAGUGAAAUUGAAAUCGCUGUGAAGAUGCAGUGUACCCGCGGCUAGACGGAAAGACCCCGUGAACCUUUACUACAGCUUGGCACUGAACAUUGACCCUACAUGUGUAGGAUAGGUGGGAGGCUUUGAAACUAGUACGCCAGUAUUAGUGGAGCCGUCCUUGAAAUACCACCCUUGUAGUGUUGAUGUUCUAACGUUGACCCCUUAUCGGGGUUGCGGACAGUGCCUGGUGGGUAGUUUGACUGGGGCGGUCUCCUCCCAAAGCGUAACGGAGGAGCACGAAGGUGGGCUAAUCACGGUUGGACAUCGUGAGGUUAGUGCAAUGGCAUAAGCCCGCUUGACUGCGAGAAUGACAAUUCGAGCAGGUGCGAAAGCAGGUCAUAGUGAUCCGGUGGUUCUGAAUGGAAGGGCCAUCGCUCAACGGAUAAAAGGUACUCCGGGGAUAACAGGCUGAUACCGCCCAAGAGUUCAUAUCGACGGCGGUGUUUGGCACCUCGAUGUCGGCUCAUCACAUCCUGGGGCUGAAGUCGGUCCCAAGGGUAUGGCUGUUCGCCAUUUAAAGUGGUACGCGAGCUGGGUUUAGAACGUCGUGAGACAGUUCGGUCCCUAUCUGCCGUGGGCGUUGGAAGAUUGAAGGGGGCUGCUCCUAGUACGAGAGGACCGGAGUGGACGAACCUCUGGUGUUCGGGUUGUGUCGCCAGACGCAUUGCCCGGUAGCUAAGUUCGGAAUCGAUAACCGCUGAAAGCAUCUAAGCGGGAAGCGAGCCCUGAGAUGAGUCUUCCCUGAUACUUUAAGUAUCCUAAAGGGUUGUUCGAGACUAGAACGUUGAUAGGCAGGGUGUGUAAGCGUUGUGAGGCGUUGAGCUAACCUGUACUAAUUGCCCGUGAGGCUUAACC